UAAAGACAAUUGGGAGUCUCCUGGUGAAAUGUUACAUUCUUGCUAUCAAACAUCCUUGUUAAAGAGAUUUA